UUGGAAGUUAAAAAGCGUAACAAGGUUUCCGUAGGUGAACCUGCGGAAGGAUCAUUG
rnacentral:rRNA from 1 species